UUGUAUUUGUAGAGGGUGUUUUGGGCGCGAWGCCGGUCUAAGUUCCUUGGAACAGGACGUCGUAGAGGGUGAGAAUCCCGUAUGCGACCGGCGAUCAAGCCCGUGCGAAACCCCUUCGACGAGUCGAGUUGUUUGGGAAUGCAGCUCAAAAUGGGUGGUAAAUUUCAUCUAAAGCUAAAUACUGGCCAGAGACCGAUAGCGGACAAGUAGAGUGAUCGAAAGAUGAAAAGCACUUUGGAAAGAGAGUCAAACAGUACGUGAAAUUGUUGAAAGGGAAGCGCUUGCAAUCAGACCGGUCCGGAGGCGAUCAGCCGCUGCUUGUCAGCGGUGCACUCGCCUGCGAUCCGGCCAGCAUCGGUUUGGGCGGCGGGAUAAAAGUCCCGGGAAUGUAGCUUCCCCCGGGGAGUCUUAUAGCCCGGGUCGCAAUGCCGCCCGCCUGGACCGAGGACCGCGCUUCGGCUAGGAUGCUGGCGUAAUGGUUGCAAGCG
rnacentral:rRNA from 1 species